GCCCAGAUGGGAUUAGCUAGUAGGUGGGGUAAUGGCUCACCUAGGCGACGAUCCCUAGCUGGUCUGAGAGGAUGACCAGCCACACUGGAACUGAGACACGGUCCAGACUCCUACGGGAGGCAGCAGUGGGGAAUAUUGCACAAUGGGCGCAAGCCUGAUGCAGCCAUGCCGCGUGUAUGAAGAAGGCCUUCGGGUUGUAAAGUACUUUCAGCGAGGAGGAAGGCGAUAAGGUUAAUGACCUUGUCGAUGACGUAC
rnacentral:rRNA from 1 species